AGACGCGGCUCGGCAGAGGACCGGCGGGUCUUAACUGACCUGCCGAGAAUCGGCUGGACUGAUGCGCGAUCUUCCCCUCUCUGAAUUCUCUCCACGGAUCCGAGUAGUGUAUGGCAUAUAGAGCAUUGCAUGGACUUGCAUAUGAUUAAGUAAAUGAGAUUACUUAUGGCUCUAUGACUUUCAGGAACGAAUGGUGAUCGUGGGAAGGACUUGGCUUAGGCGCGAGAGACUCAAGGCCGGGAUGAUGGGUGGUGAUAGUUCGGAUAGUCUAGGGAUCGAUUAUAUGACUUGUAAUAGCUUAUAUGCAAACUCAUAAGUUGUAUCGAAUCCUUUGCUUGAUCAAUAAAGUAUCCGAUUGUUUGUUUACUCUAUUUGUCUCAUAUAUUGAAUCACGGAAUCAUAUGGAACGGAUUAGACUAGGAAAGAACCUCAUAAACGGUUAGGGCCGAGUCACUUAGUGGCUUGGGUCGAGAGAACUCGUCCGGACUUUAGGCAGUCCGGAUCGGGGCCUUUCAAGUUGGUAUCAGAGCAUGCUUGGUUCUAGGACUAGGUGUUGGGUUAAGGGGUAUCACCACUCGUCGGCUUGAGAAUCUCGCGGUAGUUGCUCUUUACUCUUUUGCGAUUUUACUAGGAGUUAUGUGGAUUAACUUUGGAGGUUUCGCAGAUGGGUAAGAGCAGCAAAACAGGAAAGAGUAAGAAGGACAAGGGCAUUGUCGAGGAGACUUUGGUUGAGGAGAAAACGAUGAUCAACGAGAAAACCAGAGUCGGGACGAUGCUCGAUGGGACAGACUCGGUCGGACCUGAGACCGGGAAGAAGUCCAUAAAUGAGGAAGCACGGGAGAGUAGCGGUGCAAGGGACAACACGGAUAACCGGAACAAUACUCCAACGGCCCAAGAACAGUGGGAUUUGAUGAAAGGAAUGAUGGCGCAACUAGCCACAUUAACCAAGGCCAUUGUAGCAAAUCCGGUGGUCCAAAGAGUGGAUAACCAAAAGGACGAUGAAUUGGAAGUUGUGGAAGUGAAUCCGCAACCGAAUCAUGGGAGAAAAAGGGGAGACUAUCUGAGUCUUCUCGAACAUGUCUCAAGGCUGGGCACGAGACACUUCAUGGGCAGUACGGACCCGAUUGUGGCCGAUGAGUGGAGGAGUAGACUCAAGAGGAACUUCAAGUCUACCCGCUGUCCUGAGGAUUACCAAAGGGACAUUGCGGUCCACUUCCUUGAACGAGACGCCCAUAACUGGUGGUUAACCGUCGAGAAACGCAGAGGGGACGAGGUCCGGUCCUUUGCGGAUUUCGAAGACGAGUUUAACAAGAAGUACUUUCCACCGGAGGCUUGGGAUAGGCUUGAAUGUGCGUACCUCGACCUAGUUCAAGGGAACCGCACGGUGCGUGAAUAUGAUGAGGAAUUUAACCGCCUAAGGCGUUAUGUGGGACGUGAACUUGAGGAGGAACAAGCUCAAGUGCGCUGAUUUAUCCGUGGACUAAGGAUAGAGAUCCGCAACCAUUGUUUGGUCCGACCAUUCAACUCGGUUUCCGAAUUGGUUGAAAGGGCAGCAAUGAUUGAGGAAGGGAUCGAGGAGGAGAGGUACUUGAACCGGGAGAAAGCACUGAUCCGGAACAAUCAAUCCACCAAACCCGCGGAUAAGAAAAGGAAAUUUGACAAGGUGGAUAACACCAAGUCCAAUGCUAAGACCGGGGAAUGCGUGACCUGUGGUAAGAGCCACAGCGGAACUUGCUGGAAGGCCAUAGGUGCAUGUGGCCGGUGUGGAAGCAAGGACCAUGCGAUCCAAAUUUGCCCGAGAAUGGAACUAGGACAGUCCAAGGUUCUCGGUGAAGAGACAAGGACUUGUUUCUAUUGCGGAAAGACUGGACAUCUAAAGCGAGAGUGCCCUAAGUUGACUGCGGAGAAGCAGGCCGGACAAAGGGACAAUCGCGGGGGAAAUGGACUGCCGCCUCCCCCAAAGCGGUAAGCCGUGGCACUGCGAGUUUAUGAGUUGUCGGAGGAAGCUAAGGAUGCCGGAAACUUCAGGGCGAUCACUGGUACGUUCUCACAACUCCCUAUUCAUUAUUUCAAUAACUGCAUUUGCAUUGCAUCAUGCAUAUGGGAAAGGGGAGGUACUCAGCAUUCUAAGGGAAUGUGUAGGGACCUUGAGAGUAGGUGACGUAGUAACGCACACUCUAUUUGAUUCUGGGGCUACACAUUGUUUUGUUAGUCCGGAAUUGGUUGAAACAGGUGGGUUCAGGGCCAACAGACGUGAGGAAAACGGCUUUCCUGACAAGGUACGGCCACUUUGAGUUUGUGGUCAUGCCAUUCGGAUUGACCAAUGCACCAACAGCCUUCAUGAAAAUGAUGAAUGGGGUAUUCCGGGAUUUCUUAGACGAGUUUGUUAUCAUCUUCAUUGACGAUAUCCUUGUUUACUCGAAAUCUUGGGAAGCUCACCAAGAACAUCUAAGGGCGGUGCUGGAACAGCUAAGGGAACAUGAGCUAUUUGCGAAGUUAAGUAAAUGCUCAUUUUGGCAAAGGAGCGUUGGUUUUCUUGGUCAUGUUAUCUCGGACUAGCGGGGUAUUACCGAAGGUUCGUAAUGAGUUUUGCGAGCAUGGCCCAACCCUUGACUCGACUGAUCGGAAAAGACACCGCAUUCAACUGGUCGGAUGAGUGCGAGAAAAACUUCCUGGAGUUAAAGGCCAUGUUGACUAAUGCACCGGUAUUGGUCUUACCGGAGGAAGGUGAGCCCUAUACGGUUUAUACGGACGCAUCCGUAGUGGGACUAGAAUGCGUACUGAUGCAAAAGGGGAGUGUUAUCGCAUACGCAUCAAGGCAAUUACGGAAACAUGAGAAGAAUUACCCUACGCAUGAUUUGGAAAUGGCCGCGGUAGUAUUUGCCUUGAAGAUUUGGCGAUCAUACUUGUAUGGUGCUAAAGUUCAAAUCUAUACUGACCACAAAAGCCUAAAGUACAUAUUCACCCAGCCGGAGUUGAAUCUAAGGCAAAGAAGGUGGAUGGAACUUGUGGCGGAUUACGACUUGGAUAUAGCGUACCAUGCGGGCAAGGCCAACCAAGUCGCCGACGCCCUGAGUAGGAGGCGCUCGGAAGUUGAGGCGGAACGGAGCCAAGUGGACUUGGUUAACAUGAUGGGGACAUUGCAUGUGAAUGCCUUGUCUAAAGAAGUUGAACCCUUAGGGUUGGGAGCCGCCGAUCAGGCCAACCUGCUUAGUAGGAUCCGGCUGGCUCAGGAACGGGACGAGGAGAUAAAAGGAUGGGCACUAAACAAUAAGACCGAGUACCAAACCUCGAACAAUGGUACAAUCGUGGUGAACGGUCGAGUAUGUGUGCCGAACAAUAGGGCAUUAAAGGAGGAGAUCCUAAGAGAGGCGCAUCAAUCGAAGUUCUCAAUCCAUCCUGGGUCGAACAAGAUAUACCGCGACCUUAAAAGGUACUACCAUUGGGUAGGAAUGAAGAAAGACGUGGCCAGAUGGGUGGCCAAGUGCCCGACUUGUCAACUGGUCAAAGCGGAGCAUCAAGUACCAAGUGGGUUGUUACAAAACCUACCUAUACCGGAAUGGAAGUGGGACCACAUAACGAUGGACUUCGUCACUGGUAGACCGAUUGACUAAGUCUGCGCACUUCAUGGCGAUCUCGGAUAAGGAUGGAGCAGAAAUCAUUGCCGAGAAGUAUAUAGACGAGAUCGUGCGGUUACAUGGGAUUCCAGUUAGUAUAGUGUCAGACUGAGACACAAGGUUCACGUCAAAGUUUUGGAAGGCUUUCCAAAAGGCCUUAGGAACUCGAGUGAACCUAAGUACUGCCUACCACCCACAGACGGACGGACAGUCCGAACGAACGAUUCAAACCCUCGAGGACAUGUUGAGGGCAUGCGCCUUGGAUUGGGGAGGAAACUGGGAGAAAUAUCUAAGGUUAGUAGAGUUUGCAUACAAUAAUAGUUUUCAAGCUAGUAUUGGUAUGUCUCCCUAUGAGGCGUUGUAUGGCCGAGCUUGUAGAACACCGUUGUGUUGGACGCCCGUGGGCGAACGUCGGUUGUUUGGACCUAUCAUCGUGGAUGAAACCACGGAGAGAAUGAAGUUCUUAAAAAUCAAGUUAAAGGAAGCCCAAGAUCGACAGAAAAGCUACGCCAACAAACGUCGAAAGGAAUUGGAAUUCCAAGUAGAAGAUUUGGUGUACUUAAAGGCGAUGACCUACAAAGGGGCAGGGCGAUUCACCUCAAGGAAAAAGUUAAGCCCAAGGUAUGUUGGCCCGUACAAGGUGAUCGAACGAGUAGGGGCGGUGGCAUACAAACUUGACCUUCCUCCAAAACUAAAUGCGUUUCACAACGUCUUCCAUGUGUCACAAUUACGGAAGUGUUUAAGUAAUCAAGAAGAAAGCGUGGAAGAUGUACCUCCCGGGUUAAAGGAGAACAUGACGGUGGAAGCAUGGCCGGUACAGAUAAUGGACCGAAUGACGAAAGGGACUCGGGGAAAAUCAAGGGAUUUGUUAAAAGUCUUGUGGAAUUGUGGAGGUCGUGAACAAUACACUUGGGAAACCGAGAAUAAGAUGAAGGCCAAUUUUUCGGAGUGGUUCAAGGAGAUGGGUAAAGGUCAACUUGAUGCGGAUUCAAGGACGAAUCCAAUUCAAGGGGGGGAGACUUGUAACGCCCGCGAUCCUCAAUAGGAUCGUUGGCUAGGACUUGGUCCGAGAGAAGAAGGUGGAGUCUCGGACAAGCGAGAAGGAGCUGGCCAUAAGCUCGGACAAAGGGGAAAUUGUAACGACCGCGUCCCGCGUUCAUAAAGAGGCCAGGUUGUUUUAGGAGAAAACUAGACCAUGGUCAAGAAACGGACUAGAAUACUUAGUCAGAAGAAUAAGAAAGUUCAAAGCUGAACCAGCUAGGUGAGCUGGACAAGCUAGGAUGAACUAGCUAGCUAAGCUAGGUGAGCUAAACCAGCUGGAAGACUAGCUAGCUCGGCUAGGUGAGCUGACCGACAGCUCAACUGAGCUCGGUGAGCUGAUCGUGUACUGACCCAGCUGGGUGGUCCGGUCAGCUGACACUCGAGCUGGUGGACUGUGGUAGCUCACGGGUGAAGAGGUGUCUCGGCCAAAAGGUGUAAGGUCGAGCGGGUACCAACGAACGGUUGCAUCGCCUAAUAGAUGCAAGGAACGGAUGUGACCUUUUGGAAGGAUGCAAGGAACGGAUGUGACCUUUCGGAAGGGUGCAAGGAACGGAUGUGAUGCUUCGGGAAGCAUCCAUUCGCCCCCUAUAUAAAGGAGGACGCCCAAGGCCUUUGGAAUAAUCUCACAUCAUCUCACAAUCUCACAAUCUCACAUCAUCUCACAACAUCCAAAACACCAUAAAACGUUCUUAAAGGAGUCCCAACACAUCCUAGAGUUGUUGGUCGGAAAGGGGAUGCGGCUCGGCGAGUAUAACUCGACCGAACUGAUGCACAUGCUACCUCCCGAUCCAACGGUUCGAUGGAGUGUAGAGGAUGGAGAGGGUAGACCGUUCGUCUUAGAGACGAAUCGGAUCUAGUAGACCGAUCGUUGGAUCGGAUCGGCCAGACCGAUCGUAAGACGGAUCGGCCAGACCGAUCGUAAGACGGAUCGGAUCGGCCAGACGGAUCGGACAGACCGAUCGUCGGACGGGUCGGAUGGGACAGGCCGAUCGUCUGACGGAACGGGUCGGACAGACCGAUCGUCGGAUGGGAUGGAUCGAGAAAAGUGUUCGAGGAAGCACAAGGAUAAGUGCAUCCGAACACACCCAAGGGUCGCCCAUGGAUGCAAUCUUACCGGUAAAGGGAGAAAGCACCAAGAAUGGGUAAGGAACGUGAUUCACCAUAUAAGAUCAACAUCGCGGCCGCCUUCAUGUAUCUAUCUCCUCAGCCAUGGUGAAACCGAUCAGAGAUCGGUAAGACCAAAGGGUGACUCGACGGAUAACCAACGGGAAAGUCCACGGUGGGAACCGAUGGACAAAACAGAUGUUGGACCCGCGAGAAAACCUAAGGCCGACGGAAGAAAGAUUUCAUGGGCUAGCCUACGAUGAUCUAGUGGAUGAAUCCACGGACCCUUGGGUGUGAUAAGGAUAUAGUUCGGAUCGUAUGGAUGGAUCAAUAAGCCAAAAGCUUUAUCGACCACCAUAGACCGGACGGAUAAACGGUUAGUAAACCGUGGGCGGUCGUAGUAAAUGACAGGAUCGGAAACAUGGAUGGUUCGAUAAGCCAAGGGCUCAAUCGUCCACCAUGGAACCGAAGGGGAGUACGUUUGGAGGACGGAUGGACCAAUAAGCCAAGAGCUUGAUUCGGUCAUCGUGAACCAAGGGAAUCGUACGAUCCCCAAUCUCUAUCGUUGUACUUAGACCAGUGGGGUUGGUUGGUUGUAUGGCUAAGUAAUGAUAGGGAUUGGUUCAUCAAUUCACGACCGAUGACGAGUCGUUGAAUGAAUGGAGUAAGGCGACAAACGGGCUAAGGAAUCAAAUCCGCAUAUUGGCCAAGGUAUGUAACGAUCUAGCUUAUUAGUUAAGAUAGACGUUUGGUAAUUGACCGUGAAAGUAAGAUAAAGGAAUAUGCGAUUGUUUGGCUUAGAAUGGUUAGCGAACAUAUGCAUGUCUUGACCGAGUAAAGGAUCGAUCAUAGAAUUAAACGAAGGUUAGAAAGACUUCCGCUGUGUAAUAAGAGAGCAAUUAUAGAAUUUAGCCUCGUAAAGGCAAUUCUAUGUUGAAUCGCGAAAAAUUAAGAGGUUCGGCCGGGGAGAGGCGCGAACUUGAGUACACAGUCGCCGGACACCGAGACGUCCGGGACUGGGUCUCACAGAAAUCAUGCGGGCUAAGCUAGGAUCGUAAAGAAAUCAGCUGGGUCAGCUCGCCCAAAGCUCAAGCUCAGCUGGAAGGAGUGACGGUUACUCAGGUUAAGUGACAGUCCAGCUCGGGCAGCUGGACGAGUGACGGUUGAGCUUGAGGUAGCUGGACGAGUGACGGUUGAGCUCGAGGUAGCUGGACGAGUGACAGACUAGAUGGGCGGUUAUGGGCGAAGAGAUACAACUCUUCGGAAAGGUGCAACUCUUCGGAAGGGCGCAACUCUUCGGAAAGGUGCAAGGAACGGAUGUGUUGAUUCGGGAAGCAUCCAUUCGCCCCCUAUAUAAGGAAGGGCGCCCAGGACCAUUCCACUCACCACAACACACCGAAAACACAAGAAACUCACCAUUAAAACUCUCUCCCUCUUGGGAGAAUAAAUAGUCUUAGGAUUCGGUAGUCGGGCUGUGGCCGGCAAUAAAGAAGGAGGGUCGGAUCGACCUAACCUCGAGAAGGAAGGUAAGGGAUCCUAGACUUUGAGUCUAAGGGUUCUAGGAUGUGAGUUAGUAGUCGGAUCCUUGAAAGGAUCAACUAGAGGGCUGGGUAGUAUCCGGGUCAUGUGCAUCCUACACAAGACUCGGUCCGGGUAGGGAUCGGCUGAGGCGGGGACGCGGCUCGGCGGAGGACCGGCGGGUCUUAACUGAUCUGCCGAGAAUCGGCCGGACUGAUGUGCGAUCUUCCCCUCUCUGAAUUCUCUCCACGGAUCCGAGUAGUGUAUGGCAUAUAGAGCAUUGCAUGGACUUGCAUAUGAUUAAGUAAAUGAGAUUACUUAUGGCUCUAUGACUUUCAGGAACGAAUGGUGAUCGUGGGAAGGACUUGGCUUAGGCGCGAGAGACUCAAGACCGGGAUGAUGGGUGGUGAUAGUUCGGAUAGUCUAGGGAUCGAUUAUAUGACUUGUAAUAGCUUAUAUGCAAACUCAUAGGUUGUAUCGAAUCCUUUGCUUAAUCAAUAAAGUAUCCGAUUGUUUGUUUACUCUAUUCGUCUCAUAUAUUGAAUCACGGAAUCAUAUGGAACGGAUUAGACUAGGAAAGAACCUCAUAAACGGUUAGGGCCGAGUCACUUAGUGGCUUGGGUCGAGAGAACUCGUCCGGAAUUUAGGCAGUCCGGAUCGGGGCCUUUCAAAAACCAAGGUCCUGCUGCUCCCGAUGCUGAAAUGAAACAAAUGGUACAACAGCUGCUACAGGGACAAGCAUCUAGCUCUACAGAAAUUGCUAAGAAGUUACCUGAAUUGCACCAUAAGCUGGACUGCAGCUUUAAUGACCUGAAUGCCAAAGUGGAGGCAUUGAAUACCAAAGUCAGAUACUUGGAAGGACAAUCAGCAUCUACCUCUGCACCUAAAGUUACAGGACUUCCUGGGAAGUCAAUACAGAAUCCAAAGGAGUACGCAACUGCUCACGCAAUCACUAUCUGCUAGGAUCGAGAGCUGCCAACUCGACUUGUUCUGAUUUAAUCACUGGGACAGUGAUGUUCAAGAGGGGGACGCUUCUACUCAGAUUGAAGUCUCUGUUGUUGAAUUCAACCAUUAUGCUGGUUCUCGCCAUCUCAUUCAAUCCACCUCGGAAGAGAAGGCCGCCAUAAUCGAGAAAAUGGUAAAACGAUUCAAACCUACUCCAUUACCCUCCCGUGCUCUUCCAUGGAAAUUCAGGAAAGCAUAGAUGGAGAGAUACAAGUCUGUUGCAGCGAAACAGCUAGACGAGAUUGAAGCAGUGAUGCCACUAAUAGAAGUUCUCAACCUGAUUCAUGAUCCUCACAAAAAUGUGAGAAAUCUGAUAUUGGAAAGGAUCAAGAUGUAUCACGAUUCAAAUGAUGAUAGUGACGCUACUCCAUCUCGAGCUGCUGAUAAAAGGAUUGUUCAAGAAAAGUUUGGAGAUCCUGGAUCUUUUACUCUACCAUGUUCCAUUGGGGAAUUAGCUUUUAGUGAUUGCCUGUGCGAUCUCGGAGCCUCUGUCAGCUUAAUGCCACUCUCUAUGGCAAGAAGGUUGGAAUUUAUUCAGUACAGGCCUUGUGACCUGACUUUGAUCCUUGCGGAUAGAGCUUCAAGAAAACCCUUUGGCAUGCUGAAAGAUCUACCAGUCAUGAUUAAUGGAGUGGAAGUGCCUAUAGACUUCGUGGUGCUGGACAUGGAAGUAGAGCAUAAGGAUCCCCUAAUCCUGGGAAGACCCUUCUUAGCCUCAGUGGGAGCAGUGAUAGAUGUCAGGGAAGGGAAAAUAAGUCUCAACCUUGGAAAGCACAUCAUGUUGCAGUUCGACAUCAACAAAACUCCACAAGAGUCAAAAGAAGAUGAAAAAACCUCUGGAGAUGAUAGAGUGAUCCCAGGAGAAAAAUAUGAGACUGAGAAAGUAAAAGAGCUUAAAAAGAGGUCUGAUAAGCAAGAAGAAACUAUAGAGAGGCUAGCUCACUCUGUUGAGGAACUUAGAAGUAAGCUGAAUCAGUUGCAGAAGGAAGCUCAACCUAAAGGCGAGAUUGACACUAUCCUGAGAAAGAAGUUCACUUCAAGAUGGUUUGAAGAGAUAGAUUACCCUCCAGAAGAGAAAGAAGCAUAUUUUGAAGAGAGGGGAAUCGAGUAUUCUGCUGCAGACCUCUCCAGGGAGGACGCUGAAUAUGAUGAUGAUACAAGAGAGGACUAUGCAGACCCUCUCUAUCAUUCAUUUUCUUCUUGAUAAGUGUGAGGAUUCAAGCUAGGGACUUUAAACAAGCUCACUUGGGAGGAAGUCCCAUGACUAUCACUGUAAAUAAAUUUUUAUUUUCUUGUAAUUUUUGAUAUGUUUUAGUUGUGUUUGUGGUUCUCAGGAAUGGAGGAAUAACGUGAAGGUAGAGUAAAAAUUCAAAACUUUUACUUUAGAGAUGGCCUAGAGAUCGAGUAUAUAGGGUAGCGGAGUGCAAAACUUUUAAAACUUUUUGUUGCACCUCGAGACCUUGCACUCGAGACAUUAGUCGAGUAUGAGUGAUGUUUAAAAAUCAAAAAAUUUUAUACAUCAUUUACUCGACCAACAAAAGCUAUAAAGUCUUACGGGGAGUUUAUCAAGUUUACAGAAGAUUACGAGAUUUCCUGAGGUUUUUACAGUAAACAGAGAGCACAAAAUAAAGACAAGAAGACAUUGUGGGACCCGCCGCUGACGCCCAUGUCUUCCAUGCAAGAGACCAAGAGACAAGGAAUCUCUUUACACCCCCUCUCCACCACUCGACCUCAUCGCCACCUUAUCCCCCCCAUCACUCGACCUCUCCGCCUUCUCCUUCCAUCAUAAACACUCGACUUCUCCCUUUCACCUUCAUCCCAACAACACUCGACUCUCACUUCUCUCAUCGACCCUCACUCUCAAGCUCACCAAACACUCGAUCUCAUCGACCACUCUUCGCCACCACCACCUCUCAUUCGUCUCAGUUUCACUCGACCACAACUCUCUUCGCCUCUCCAUCAUCACGGCCUGCUCCCUCUCUCCAAGGAAACAACUCGACCUCACCAUUUCAUUCACUCGACCUCUAUCACCAAGUCGCCUUCACCACUUCUCGCUCUUAACCACUCGACCAUCUUCACCAUCAACCAAUCAAAUCGUUUUCUCCUCCAUUCAAGUUCCAAAACUGGACCGCCGCUUCACUCGACCACAACCACGAAACCAGCUUCACUCGACUUCACAAGUUCACUCGACCGCGUCUCCUUCUUCACCAAUCACACGAACUCACCUCUCACUCUCUCAUCUUACUCGACCGCGUGUAAGAAGAAGCUAACCAAACAAUCCGAUGAACCGUCUACAACACUACUCGCCUUUGCCCCGCGAUCAAGUACUUGAAGGUUUCAGCCUUGCUCAUUUGGGUUCGUUUGGAGAAUCACUCUGUCACAACAUAUCACUCAACCAAAGAGUUCACUCGACCACCGCGAAUCUCUCUUCGCUAUCACCGGUUCACAAGCUCACUCGACCGCUUCGCUCAAAGUGUACUCGACCUCUUCCACCAUCAAGCAACAAAAACUCGAUUUCCAAAACCAACAAAAUCACUCGGCCGGUUUACUCAAUAACAUUACUUGACCAAUUUACUCUGUUAGUUUAUGUUUUUGGUUUUGUUGGGACUAACGUAUUAACGUUUAUCUUUGAGUUUCAUCUAUUUUCAGGUUUCAUCAUGAGUAACUACAAUGGAGAAUCCUCUAUGGAUCCUGAUUAUAAUGUAGAUGAAGCUGAGUCUUGGUCCACUAGACCAAAGAGAGAAGAACACGUUUACGAAAGCUUCAAAGGAGAAUUGGAACGCUCUGCAGCUCGACGUAACCAGAGAAGAGCUAAAAUCGCCAGAGGAAAGAGAGCGAUGUCAAGUAGAUAUGAGUUGAUUGAUGAGGACAUCGAAACUGAGUAUGAGCCAGAGUCAUGGCGCAUGGAGACGAAGCUGCUGAACAAACCCGACGAGGUUACGGUGGAGGAGUAUAUCAGAUUCUUUGAGAUGAACGACUUCUGGGGGACGAGAUAUCCCUGCUAUGAGACUUUAGCCCAGCUGGGGUUACUGGAGGACGUGCAGCAUCAGUUCGAGAAGUGUCAUCUGGAGACACUCAUGUCUUACCCUUACGCUACCUAUAAAGAGGAGAGGAUCGAGUUUCUUUCCACACUGCAAGUGGAGAUGUAUUAGAGUCUCACAGACUUUGAGCUGGAUACCAUGGGAUUAGGGUUCUUGACGUUCUCAGUGGAUGAACAACGUUAUCAGCUGUCGAUCAAGAAGUUGGAAGAACUGUUUGGUUUCCCAAGUGGAAAUGGAACCAAACCCAAGUUUGAAAGGAAAGAGCUUAAGGAUUUGUGGGCUACUAGUGGGAACAAUGUACCACUAAACUCUGCGCGGUCCAAGAGCAACCAAAUCAGGAGUCCUGUGAUUCGCUACUUUCAGCGUUCAAUUGCCAAUGUUUUGUACUCCAGAGAGUCUACAGGCACCGUGUUUAACACGGACAUGGAGAUGAUAGAUUCCGCACUUACAGGAAUUCUCCGCCGUACAAAGGGAAAGAAUGUCCUGAGAGGCAAUCUCAAUGACGCGCCACCAGUAAUGCCUCUGUUGAUCCACCUGUGUGGAUACAGGAAGUGGGCGUUGACAAACGGCAAGAAGAAGGUGAGAGGAGCACUAUGCGUGGGUGGCGUUGUGACGCCAAUUCUGGAAGCUUGUUGAGUACCGCUCAAGGAACCAGGGUUAGCACCGAGAAUGAUGGACUUUGAUCAUUUGCGCCGAUGUGAGUUCUUGGAGUAUGACAUGGUUGGCGACUUCCACCGCUACAGGUUCGAGGAUUCAUCGAUUAGAAUCGCCAAUAUUCUUCUCCCCUGCAUUGACGCUAAUAGGAUUCUCGAGGGAAGGAACAUUGACUUCAAGCCUGCGCUUGAAGAUCUUUAUUUUGAGGGCAGUCCGCCAACCGAAGAGAUCAGUCACACAGAAGGAGCUAUAAAGGAAGAUGUUGAUGUGACAGUUGAAAUAGAUGAGGUGGAGUUUGACACGAGCAUGUAUCAUUUCAGUGAGCAUAUACCUCCAGCGAGGGAAAUCAAGAGUUUGAGCGAAGCUCAAAAGAACAACAGUAAGCUGCAGAAGUGGUGCAAGAAACUGGAUAAGUUACUCGCCAAGUGCCUCAGGGCUAUCAAGUUUCUGAAGGACAAGCUUAGCUGCUCCUCUUCCACUACAGCUAUCCCGCAGGGACAGCUCCCUCAGGACAUGCCCUCGAGGAGAUAUGACGCGCCUAAGCCAAGUCGGCGUAGGCCUGAGCCUAGUGAGCAGGAGAUUCCGCAUGUCCCUGCGAGGCAUUCAUCAUUCGAGCCUCGUGAAUCUGGGAGGAAGAGGAGGACCACACUCACUCAAUCUAGCAGCACGAGCAAACGACUUCUCCAGUCUCGUAGUUUACGCGACCGCGGUGCUGUCCGCAGCAGAAGAAGAGAGGUCGAGUAUCCUCAUAGCGGUGCUGGCCGCCACAGAGCUGAUGAGAUCGAGUACCCACCUGCUGGAGCUGAUACAGAACAUGGCGGUUCGUCUAUGGCCUGUGAGCAAUGACAGGCAGCCAUUGACGACCAACUCCGUUCAUUCUUCGACUGAGGUAAGCGCCUCACUUCACCAUUGUAUUAUAUCAUCUCUUGCGAUUUGUUCUUUAUUUUGUUUUUGUGAUUGGAUUUGUCCUGAAUACUCUUUUCCAAGUUUAUUCACACAGUGGACUAUGUGAUUUAAGUUUGGGGGAGGGCUCAGGAAGUGUGUGUUGCAUUGUUUAUAUUCUUGAGUCUGCAUUCAUCUAAGGCAUAGAAAAACAAAAAAA
rnacentral:sRNA from 1 species